rnacentral:snRNA from 1 species
GUGCUCACUUUGGCAGCACAUAUACUAAAAUUGGAAUGAUACAGAGAAGAUUAGCAUGGCCCCUGCACAAGGAUGACACGCAAAUUCAUGAAAGAGUUAUUAUGUGC